UAUAGUGAAGUCCUUUAGUCAAAGACAAGAAAGAUAUUUUCUUAGAAGGCCUUUCUGUAAAGUGAAAAGUAAGAAGUCUUGUUAAUUCCUGUUCUUUAGACAGAGGAAUAAAUGAAAUAACUUUUGUGAGCCUUUUUAUUACUGAGCAAAGCUGAAAAAAUGCUAAGUAUAAAAAAUGAGAAAAAUUGAUAAAAUAUAUUGAAGUCGGUUUGUAAUAGUUUUCUUUAACACAAUGGGUAUCAAAAUACUCAGAAUUUAAAAUUCUAUAAUCUUAGACCUUAAUCACAAACAAUUAAGAAAAAAAUUGCUAAUUGAUUUUUGAACAUAGCAAGGAAAUUAUUUUUUUUCAUUUAAUAAGAUAUUGUAAUAGGGAAAAUCAAAUAUACAUGAUUGUAUAUAACCUGCACAUAAUUUUGGCACAGAUUCUGAGUGGAAUAGGGACAGAAUUGGCAUGGAAUCAGUGAUUUCUGUGUGGACCAUGGAAAGAAAUGAAAUUCUGUCAUUCCAUUUCAAAACAAAAACAAUUCACAUAAAAGUUACCCAAAGCAUUAUUCUACUCUAGUUUUUUUUUUGCAUUUACAAACAUUGAAAUGUAUAUGUUUUCAACCUAUUGUACUUCUUACAGUACUUUUUUUUACUAAAGCUCAUGCAACUGUCAUUUUUAUCUAUUUCAAAUCAAGGAACCAAUAUGCCUGAUAAUUGCAUACACUUAGGACACCCACUUAGAUAUUACACCACGCAGAUCAAAGAUCUGAUAAAACUGGCCACCUUUGUUCUCCCACCAUAAUGUGCAUGACUAAUUUACUCCCUGGUCAUUCCUACAAAUCAGACUGUUCCAUGUGGUUAUUUUGGGGAGUUGAAUGAUAUGCAGAAUAUGUCUAGGACAUUGCAAUUUUUCCUCUUUAUUAAAUUCGUGAUUUUUUAAAUCUACUUAUCUAUUAGCUAUUUGAUGUGGUUUUUUACAUUCAAUGAAUGUUAUAUAAAAUGAUAACUGCUUUGAUUUUUGGAUUAACCCUGUUUUACCUAAUGAUGUACCUGUCCAGUUUGAAUGGUCAGCUAGAAGCUUGGAAAUAGUGUAAAUUACAGAGGAGACUACUUCCUGUUUAAGCAAUUUUGGAGUUUAAGAUGUUAAGGUGUUUAAGUUUAAUAAGUGUAGUUAUGGUUAAUAAGAAUGACAAGAAUCAGAAUCACCUGGGACAAGGAGAUAUACAACAGAAUGAGGCUUUAAAGUGGGGCCAGUUCUGAGUCUGACUCUGAGAUGCUAGGUGAAUAAUGAUGUGCAGUAUUGAGCCCCAAAAGAAAUAAUGAAGGAGUCAGAGUGUCAAUCAGAGUGCCAACUGUUCAAGGCUGGGAGAUAGUCAGCUGGGAGCCUGAGAGCAAAAUGACGUAAAUGCCAUGCAGGGAAAGUUUGUUAACUUGUGAAUCAAAGCUAGCUUCUAGAUGCCAUCACAGUCAAACUUUUCAGUGUAUUUUUUCUCAAAUCUAUAAACUUUCCUGGAUCUAUAGUGUGUGAUUUUUUCAUAAUAAAUUUUUCUGUUCUAAUCCCUUCAAUUAUAUGUAAUAAUUGUAUACAUAUAAAAUGUAAAAUAUGAUGAAAUAUUAAAAUAAAUAUUUUUAAACUAACUAAAUUUGUGCUUUAAAUUAGUAUUUCAAAGCAGCAUUUAUUUAAAUAUCAGCUUUUACUGUUUUCUACAUUUCUACAUGUCUGUCCUGGGGACAGGACAUUUAUUAGAUAAUGAGACUGUCCUGGGAACAGGACUUUCCUGGGAUUACAGGACUGUCCUGGGAACAGGAAAUUCCUGGGAUUACAGGACUGUCCUGGGAACAGGACAUUCCUGGGAUUACAGGACUGUCCUGGGAACAGGACUUUCCUGGGAUUAUAAGACUGUCCUGGGAACAAGACAUUCCUGGGAUAGCAGAGCAAUAUUUUUUCCUGUUUUUUCCUGUCUUCAAGAAAUUCCUGGGAUUGUCAAGUCCCAUUUAACGG